rnacentral:rRNA from 1 species
CACGUAGGGCGCAAGCGUUGUCCGGAAUUAUUGGGCGUAAAGAGCUCGUAGGCGGUCUGUUGCGUCCGCUGUGAAAACUCGGGGCUUAACCCCGAGCCUGCAGUGGAUACGGGCAGACUAGAGGUAGGUAGGGGAGAAUGGAAUUCCCGGUGUAGUGGUGAAAUGCGUAGAUAUCGGGAGGAACACCAGUGGCGAAGGCGGCUUUCUGGCCUGCUCUUGACGCUGAGGCGCGAAAGCUAGGGUAGCAAACGGG